AUGGGGUGCAGCNCGNGAGAAACCUUUGCAAUGUGCGCAAGCACGACAAGGUUAAUCCGAGUGUUUCCUGCUUAAGGAAUCUUUUGUUANUUGUAAAACCACUAUCGAAUAAGGGGUGGGCAAGUUCUGGUGUCAGCCGCCGCGGUAAAACCAGCACCUCAAGUGGUCAGGAGGAUUAUUGGGCCUAAAGCAUCCGUAGCCUGUUCUGUAAGUUUUCGGUUAAAUCCAUUAGCUCAACUAAUGGGCUGCCGAAAAUACUGUAGAACUAGGGAGUGGGAGAGGUAGACGGUAUUCGGUAGGAAGGGGUAAAAUCCUUUGAUCUAUUGAGGACCACCUGUGGCGAAGGCGGUCUACCAGAACACGUUCGACGGUGAGGGAUGAAAGCUGGGGGAGCAAACCGGAUUAGAUACCCGGCUAGUCCCAGCUGUAAACGAUGCAGACUCGGUGAUGCGCUGGCUUCUGGCCAGUGCAGUGCCGCAGGGAAGCCGUUAAGUUUGCCGCCUGGGAAGUACGUACGCAAGUAUGAAACUUAAAGGAAUUGGUGGGGGAGCAC
rnacentral:rRNA from 1 species